rnacentral:rRNA from 1 species
CCUACGGGAGGCAGCAGUGAGGAAUAUUGGUCAAUGGGCGCGAGCCUGAACCAGCCAAGUAGCGUGAAGGAUGACUGCCCUACGGGUUGUAAACUUCUUUUAUAAGGGAAUAAAGUGAGGCACGUGUACCUUUUUGUAUGUACUUUAUGAAUAAGGAUCGGCUAACUCCGUUCCAGCAGCCGCGGUAAUACGGAGGAUACGAGCGUUAUCCGGAUUUAUUGGGUUUAAAGGGAGCGUAGAUGGGUUGUUAAGUCAGUUGUGAAAGUUUGCGGCUCAACCGUAAAAUUGCAAUUGAUACUGGCAGUCUUGAGUAUAGUUGAGGUAGGCGGAAUUCGUGGUGUAGCGGUGAAAUGCUUAGAGAUCACGAAGAACUCCGAUUGCGAAGGCAGCUUACUAAACUGACACUGACAUUGAUGCUCGAAAGUGUGGGGAUCAAACAGGAUUAGAUACCCUUGUAGUC